GGAAGUAAAAGUCGUAACAAGGUCUCCGUUGGUGAACCAGCGGAGGGAUCAUUAUCGAGUCACCACUCCCAAACCCCCUGCGAACACCACAGCAGUUGCCUCGGCGGGACCGCCCCGGCGCCCCAGGGCCCGGACCAGGGCGCCCGCCGGAGGACCCCCAGACCCUCCUGUCGCAGUGGCAUCUCUCAGUCAAGAAGCAAGCAAAUGAAUCAAAACUUUCAACAACGGAUCUCUUGGUUCUGGCAUCGAUGAAGAACGCAGCAAAAUGCGAUAAGUAAUGUGAAUUGCAGAAUUCAGUGAAUCAUCGAAUCUUUGAACGCACAUUGCGCCCGCUGGUAUUCCGGCGGGCAUGCCUGUUCGAGCGUCAUUUCAACCCUCAAGCCCUCGGGUUUGGUGUUGGGGAUCGGCUCUGCCUUCUGGCGGUGCCGCCCCCGAAAUACAUUGGCGGUCUCGCUGCAGCCUCCAUUGCGUAGUAGCUAACACCUCGCAACUGGAACGCGGCGCGGCCAUGCCGUAAAACCCCAACUUCUGAAUGUUGACCUCGGAUCAGGUAGGAAUACCCGCUGAACUUAAGCAUAUCAAUAAGCGGAGGA
rnacentral:rRNA from 1 species